UAGGGAAUAUUGCUUAAUGGGCGAAAGCCUGAAGCAGCAACGCCGCGUGCGCGAUGAAGGCCUUCGGGUUGUAAAGCGCUUUUAGCUGGGAAGAGGAAGGACGGUACCAGCGGAAUAAGCCUCGGCUAACUACGUGCCAGCAGCCGCGGUAAAACGUAGGAGGCGAGCGUUAUCCGGAUUUACUGGGUGUAAAGCGCAUGCAGGCGGUUUGCUAAGUUGGGCGUGAGAGCUCCUGGCUCAACUGGGAGAGGUCGCUCAAGACUGGCAGACUGGAGAGCAGUAGGGGAAGGUGGAAUUCCGGGUGUAGUGGUGAAAUGCGUAGAUAUCCGGAGGAACACCAGUGGCGAAAGCGGCCUUCUAGACUGCAUCUGACGCUCAGACGCGAAAGCUAGGGUAGCAAACGG
rnacentral:rRNA from 1 species